rnacentral:rRNA from 1 species
GCAUAACGCGAAGAACCUUACCAGGCCUUGACAUCCAAUGAACUUUCUAGAGAUAGAUUGGUGCCGUUUCGGGGAACUCUAAGACAGGUGGUGCACGGUUGUCGUCAGCUCGUGUCGUGAGAUGUUGGGUUAAGUCCCGCAACGAGCGCAACCCCUGUUAUUAGUUGCUGCUAUCGGUAUACUGAUAGUAAGCUCUCUAAUAAGACUGCCGGUGACAAACCGGAGGAAGGUGGGGAUGACGUCAAAUCAUCAUGCCCCUUAUGUUCUGGGCUACACACGUGUUACAAUGGCUAGGACAACGAGCAGCCAGCUCGCAAGAGUGAGCAAAUCUCUUAAACCUAGUCUCAGUUCGGAUCGUAGUCUGCAACUCGACUACGUGAAGUCGGAAUCGCUAGUAAACGCAGAUCAGCACGCUGCGUUGAAUACGUUCCCGGGUCUUGUACACACCG